ACUGCUAGUGCUUCUGGAUCUUCUUACCGAAAUGGCUGAUUCAGGAGGAUGCGGGGAGCGUCAGAUCAGGAUUGCUGAAGGAGAGCUGAGAAUGAAACCACCAUUUAUUCAGCACUCAGAAUGCUCCAGGCAGUGUAAUCUCAUUCCAUCUUCAUUCAUGACUCCAGACAGGUAUGGCCACCAGUGCUCCAGAUUUACAUUCUAUUUACCUCACAACCCCAGUGGAAAAAGAAUAUCUCUUUCCUGAUUGGUCCAGCAGAAAUCUUGGUAUUAACUCUGACUGCCCACACUUGAAUAUGAACUAUUAGUAAGUACUGUGGCCAAGAGUUUGCUUCGGGAAAGAAUAUGAUAAAGUCACCUUAUCUUUCAUGUUUGCUCAGAAUAGUGAGGUGAUUCUCCACAGGAAAACUGGAAUGCUGUUACUAGAAGAAGAAAUACUGGACAAAGCUAAUAGAUGUCCCCAAAAGUGAUGAUAAUAAUUUUAUUCAAAUAGGUUCAUAGAUCAGUCUGGUGGGCUUGUUUUCACAUUUUAUUUAAGAAAAACUCUUGUAAUUACAAGUUCCCCAGUCUGUAAAUACAGAUGAGAUUAACCAAAUUUUGUUAUUUUUUGACUGC
rnacentral:lncRNA from 1 species